rnacentral:rRNA from 1 species
GAUUGAACGCUGGCGGCAUGCUUUACACAUGCAAGUCGAACGGCAGCGCGGGCUUCGGCCUGCGGCGAGUGGCGAACGGGUGAGUAAUGCAUCGGAACGUGCCCAGUAGUGGGGGAUAGCCCGGCGAAAGCCGGAUUAAUACCGCAUACGACCUGAGGGUGAAAGCGGGGGACCGAAAGGCCUCGCGCUAUUGGAGCGGCCGAUGUCGGAUUAGCUAGUUGGUGGGGUAAAGGCUUACCAAGGCGACGAUCCGUAGCUGGUCUGAGAGGACGACCAGCCACACUGGGACUGAGACACGGCCCAGACUCCUACGGGAGGCAGCAGUGGGGAAUUUUGGACAAUGGGGGCAACCCUGAUCCAGCCAUGCCGCGUGCGGGAAGAAGGCCUUCGGGUUGUAAACCGCUUUUGUUCGGGAAGAAAUCCUCUGGGCUAAUACCCCGGGGGGAUGACGGUACCGGAAGAAUAAGCACCGGCUAACUACGUG